GGCAAGGGCGGAGUUAGUUAGGUUUCCUUUUCCUGAGUGUGACGCGCCUUAGUGGGCACACGUGCUAGCCGGGAUGGUGGGAACGGGGGGAAGAUGAACCCAGAAAUGCUGAGUCAGGGUGGCCAAGAUGGUUGCCUGUCGCCAUCUUGGGGCCUUCACCAGAGUCCAAACAAAAAGCUAAGCUAGGGCCUGGUUCUGCUCCCAGUCUAGCAUUGGAACCACUUCUAGGAACGUUUCUUGCUGAGUCAGCUUGUCAUACAGAUCCUGGUCUACAUUUUGAACCUUACUUUUGAGGUGAAAAGCUCAGCUAGGUCCUGGCUCUGGUCCCAGUCUAGCAUUGGAACCACUUCUAGGAACGUUUCUUGCUGAGUCAGCUUGUCAUACAGAUUCUGGUCUACAUUUAGAACCUUGCUUUUGAGGUGAAAAGUGAAAGGCAAUGGAAGGGUUCCAUAGACAAAAAGGGUCGAGAGGCAGGGCAAAGAAUGCAAAAGUUCCUUUAUUAAGCUCUUGGACGAGGUUCACUGGUCCGCAGGGGAGGGCCGGGGAAGUCGCACUGUGUUGGAGGUGCAGCAGGCUUAUAUGGACACUAGGUGAGUUAGGGGCGGAUUCGGGGUGGGGCAAGGGCGGAGUUAGUUAGGUUUUAUUUUCCUGAGUGUGACACGCCUUAGCGGGCUCACGUUCUUGCCGGGAUGGCGGGAACGGGGGGAAGAUGAACCCGCUAAUGCUGAGUCAGGGUGGCCAAGAUGGUUGCCUGUCGCCAUCUUGGGGCCUUCACCGGAGUCCAAACAAAAAGCUAAGCUAGGGCCUGGUUCUGGUCCCUGUCUAGCAUUGGAACCACUUCUAGGAACGUUUCUUGCUGAGUCAGCUUGUCAUACAGAUCCUGGUCUACAUUUUCAACCUACUUUUGAGGUGAAAAGCUAAGCUAGGGCCUGGUUCUGGUCCUAGUCUUGCAUUGGAACCACUUCUAGGAACGUUUCUUGCUGAGUCAGCUUGUCAUACAGAUCCUGAUGUGCAGCAGCAAAUUGCUCUGGCUCCGGGGGCAGGUCUCCAGCUGAAUGUGUGCCUACGAAUGGAAUCAAAGUCUCAUCAAAAUCUCAGUCAGUUCCUGAGGCAGAAGAGAUGGGUGUGUCUUAUCCAAGAUUUCUCUGGCUCCAGGGGCAGGUCUCCAGCUGAAUCUGUGCCUACAAAUGGAAUCAAAGUCUCAUCAAAGUCUCAGUCAGUUCCUGAGGCAGAAGAGAUGGGUGUGUCUUAUCCAAGAUUUCUCUGGCUCCAGGGGCAGGUCUCCAGCUGAAUCUGUGCCUACGAAUGCAAUCAAAGUCUCAUCAAAGUCUCAGUUCCUGAGGCAGAAGAGAUGGGUGUGUCUUAUCCAAGAUUUCUCUGGCUCCAGGGGCAGGUCUCCAAUGCAAACAAAGUCUCAUCAAAGUCUCAGUUCCUGAGGCAGAAGAGAUGGGUGUGUCUUAUCCAAGAUUUCUCUGGCUCCAGGGGCAGGUCUCCAGCUGAAUCUGUGCCUACAAAUGGAAUCAAAGUCUCAUCAAAGUCUCAGUCAGUUCCUGAGGCAGAAGAGGUGGGUGUGUCUUAUCCAAGAUUUCUCUUAUGGAACAAAGUUACAUCAAAGCCAAUUUAAAAGCCUAUGUAAAAAAAAUUAUUAUUAUUGAUGCAAUGUAUACAAAUAUAUAGACCAAUAUAAUAAGUUUACUAUUCCUACCAUGAUUUGUCUUUAGUAAAAUGGGAAACUGGAGAAAAACUUAUGUUUCCAAAUGAUUAUAUAUCUGUGUUAGAUUCUAGUCUUGCCUAAUUUUUUUUCAAUUUGGAUUACUUUCUACAGUUUGGACCAAAUUCUAAUUUUUUUUUAUUACAAGUCUCCAAAAUAAUUUUUAAAUUUUUUUUUCCUUCUUUUUUCCAUUUUUCCUAAUUUGGAGUCACUGAAAACUAAGCUGUGCUUUCUUAAAAUCCUGUGAACUGAAGCCAGACAACUUAAACUUCAGAAGAAAAUAACAGCAACCUAUUUACAUACAUAAACCACUUUCAUACCUGCCUACUGAUGCAUAGACUUCAGAGUAAUGAGGCCUAUAUCAAAUGUUUCCCGGAUUGUUCUUUUGUUUGUUGUUGUUUUCUCUCUCUUCCUCCCACUAUUUUCUCUUCGCAGGACAUGAGACUUAACAACCUGCUAAAAAUGAGCUUUUGGGACCUACCCAUCAAGGAAUAAACUGUCCUCGCCAUGAGAGAUCAAAUGAAACCUGAGACCAGAGACUCAUUUUCUUGUAAAAUGCUUUCUCCAACAGAUUUUUAAAAAGAAAAGGGGGGAAAUGUGAAAGGAAAAUAUCUGUGGUCCCCAAAAUCACGAAGGAAAACUCAAGCCGGGAACUGCUUAGGGCAAACCUGCCUCCCAUUCUAUUCAAAGUCACUCCUUUGCCCAAUCAGAUAGAUGCUUAUCUGAUUUGCCUCCUUUGGAAAGGCUGAUCAGAAACUCAAAAGAAUGGAACCAUUUGUGUAACAGCCAUCUGUGACCUGGAAGCUUCCUUCCCACUUCAGUCUUCCUGCCUUUGCUUCAAGUUGUCCUGUCUUUCCAGAUGAAGCAAUGUACUUCUUAACAUAUAUUGACUGAUGUCUCAUGAUGUCUCCCUAAAUGUAUGAAACCAAGCUGUGCCUGACAACCUUGGACAUAUUUUGUCAAGACUUCCCUGAGGCUGUCAUUGGUGCAUCCUCAACCUUGGCAAAAUAAACUUUCUAAAUUAA
rnacentral:lncRNA from 10 species